AGCAGCCGCGGUAAUUCCAGCUCCAAUAGCGUAUAUUAAAGUUGUUGCAGUUAAAAAAGCUCGUAGUUGAAUUUCGGGAUCAAUAUAUUGGUCGUGCCUCCGGUACGUACUGGUAUCGUUGAUUUCUACCUUCUGACGAACUAUGAUGUCAUUAAUUUGGUGUCAUGGGAAAUCAGGACUGUUACUUUGAAAAAAUUAGAGUGUUUAAAGCAGGCACACGCUUGAAUACAUUAGCAUGGAAUAAUGAAAUAGGACGUUUGACCCUAUUUUGUUGGUUUCUAGGAUCGACGUAAUGAUUAAUAGGGAUAGUUGGGGGCAUUAGUAUUCAAUUGUCAGAGGUGAAAUUCUUGGAUUUAUUGAAGACUAAACUACUGCGAAAGCAUUUGCCAAGGAUGUUUUCAUUAAUCAAGAACGAAAGUUAGGGGAUCGAAGACGAUCAGAUACCGUCGU
rnacentral:rRNA from 1 species